GGCCGACUAGCUCAGUUGGUUAGAGCGUCGUGCUAAUAGUUGGAUGGCUGAUUUAUCCUUUACCAGAUCAAUCGGCUAGCUGACUGUUCAACGCGAAGGUCUUGGGUUCGAUCCCCACGUUGGCCA